rfam:Morus notabilis contig16530, whole genome shotgun sequence.
UUGGCUUCUUGAUUUAUUCUAUUCUCCGAUUAAAUUUUAUAUUUUGUGUUUGUUGUUAAUUGAAAUUUGAAGCCAAAUAUAAAAUGUUCCCCCCGCUAUCCGGUGCCUGCUUUUUAUGUUGCAUUUGGACGUUGGGGAACUAGGUUG